rnacentral:rRNA from 1 species
CCUACGGGUGGCAGCAGUGAGGAAUAUUGGUCAAUGGGCGAGAGCCUGAACCAGCCAAGUCGCGUGAGGGAAGACGGUCCUAUGGAUUGUAAACCUCUUUUGCCGGGGAGCAAAAAGCGGUACGUGUACCGCAUCGAGAGUACCCGGAGAAAAAGCAUCGGCUAACUCCGUGCCAGCAGCCGCGGUAAUACGGAGGAUGCGAGCGUUAUCCGGAUUUAUUGGGUUUAAAGGGUGCGCAGGCGGCGAGGUAAGUCAGCGGUAAAAUUUCGGGGCUCAACCCCUUCCCGCCCUUGAAACUGGCGUUCUGGAGUGGGAGAGAAGUAUGCGGAAUGCGUGGUGUAGCGGUGAAAUGCAUAGAUAUCACGCAGAACCCCGAUUGCGAAGGCAGCAUGCCGGCUUCCGACUGACGCUGAAGCACGAAAGCGUGGGGAUCGAACAGGAUUAGAUACCCGUGUAGUC